rnacentral:rRNA from 1 species
UGCCAGCAGCCGCGGUAAUACGGAGGGGGUUAGCGUUGUUCGGAAUUACUGGGCGUAAAGCGCACGUAGGCGGAUUAGUAAGUUAGGGGUGAAAUCCCGGGGCUCAACCCCGGAACUGCCUCUAAUACUGCUAGUCUUGAGUUCGAGAGAGGUGAGUGGAAUUUCCGGUGUAGCGGUGAAAUGCGUAGAUAUCGGAAGGAACACCAGUGGCGAAGGCGACUUCCUGGGCCAAUACUGACGCUGAGGUGCGAAAGCGUGGGGAGCAAACAGGAUUAGAUA